rnacentral:lncRNA from 1 species
GAGGAGUUUAUUUUGUUUCACACUUUGAGAAGGGUCAGGGUUGACCUUAAUGCUAUCAUUUUCCAGUACAUGAAAGAUACUUUUCGCUUUAAACGACUGGGUCAGGCAAAGGAAACAUUUCCAUAUGGCAUGUUGUUAUCCAAGAUAUUCAUGUUUCAUAAUUUAAAUCUGGCUACACAAGUCCGUGAUAGAGACUGUGGUCCUGCAAUUAUAUUUGACUAUAAUAUUGAUGAUAUCUUUUAUUCAAGACUUACACCAACAUCGGGCGAGUCAGAACCAUUCCUUACAAUAAUAGUUGAAGAUGAUGAUAUGGUUGAAGACAUAAACUUAGAUAAUUUAGAUGAGUCAGAUAGUUCAGAUAAUAUGGAUAUAUCUGAUGAUUCAGAGGAUGAUUCAGACGAUGAUUUAGACGAUGGUUCAAAUGAUGGUUCAGAUGGUGUAUGGGAAAACAAAUCUAUAGAUAGAAUUAGAAAUUAGAUUUAUGUAAUUAUGUAUACAACAUUACAACAGUUGAUUCAUAAAUGCAAUUUUAUUUUAUUUUCAUUUACAUAUUACAUGUCAUUUUCACAAAUAUAUUUUUCCAAAUUCGAAGUGAAAGAAAACACUCACAAAAAUGAAAAGGGGGAAAAAAUUAACCUACAGUCAAACAGUGCUCACUGCUCAAAUUUUAUGCGGUAUUACUUCAUCAUUACACAGCGCAUUGUAUAAACAGCACGGUUGAUAAUGUCAAACGGUGCUAAGAUAGUAUAACGAUCCACG